rnacentral:rRNA from 1 species
AUUGAACGCUGGCGGCAUGCUUUACACAUGCAAGUCGAACGGUAACAGGCCGCAAGGUGCUGACGAGUGGCGAACGGGUGAGUAAUGCAUCGGAACGUGCCCAGUCGUGGGGGAUAACGCAGCGAAAGCUGCGCUAAUACCGCAUACGAUCUCUGGAUGAAAGCGGGGGACCGAAAGGCCUCGCGCGAUUGGAGCGGCCGAUGUCAGAUUAGGUAGUUGGUGGGGUAAAGGCUCACCAAGCCGACGAUCUGUAGCUGGUCUGAGAGGACGACCAGCCACACUGGGACUGAGACACGGCCCAGACUCCUACGGGAGGCAGCAGUGGGGAAUUUUGGACAAUGGGCGCAAGCCUGAUCCAGCCAUACCGCGUGCAGGAUGAAGGCCUUCGGGUUGUAAACUGCUUUUGUACGGAACGAAAAGGUUUGACUUAAUACGUUGGACUCAUGACGGUACCGUAAGAAUAAGCACCGGCUAACUACGUGCCAGCAGCCGCGGUAA